AGAGUUUGAUCAUGGCUCAGGAUGAACGCUGGCGGCGUGCUUAACACAUGCAAGUCGAACGGUGAACACGGAGCUUGCUCUGUGGGAUCAGUGGCGAACGGGUGAGUAACACGUGAGCAACCUGCCCCUGACUCUGGGAUAAGCGCUGGAAACGGCGUCUAAUACUGGAUAUGUGACGUGACCGCAUGGUCUGCGUCUGGAAAGAAUUUCGGUUGGGGAUGGGCUCGCGGCCUAUCAGCUUGUUGGUGAGGUAAUGGCUCACCAAGGCGUCGACGGGUAGCCGGCCUGAGAGGGUGACCGGCCACACUGGGACUGAGACACGGCCCAGACUCCUACGGGAGGCAGCAGUGGGGAAUAUUGCACAAUGGGCGCAAGCCUGAUGCAGCAACGCCGCGUGAGGGACGACGGCCUUCGGGUUGUAAACCUCUUUUAGCAGGGAAGAAGCGAAAGUGACGGUACCUGCAGAAAAAGCGCCGGCUAACUACGUGCCAGCAGCCGCGGUAAUACGUAGGGCGCAAGCGUUAUCCGGAAUUAUUGGGCGUAAAGAGCUCGUAGGCGGUUUGUCGCGUCUGCUGUGAAAUCCGGAGGCUCAACCUCCGGCCUGCAGUGGGUACGGGCAGACUAGAGUGCGGUAGGGGAGAUUGGAAUUCCUGGUGUAGCGGUGGAAUGCGCAGAUAUCAGGAGGAACACCGAUGGCGAAGGCAG
rnacentral:rRNA from 1 species